UUGGGUUGGUGUUGAUUCUCUUGGUGAUGAUCUUGGCUCUCUUGAUGGUGAUGUUGGUUGUGUUGGGGUGGUGUUGGUUGUGUUGGGGUGGUGGUUCUCUUGGUAAUGGUUGUGUUGGUGGUGAUGGUUGUGUUGGUGGUGAUGGUUGUGUUGGGGUGAUGGUUGUGUUGGUGGUGAUGGUUGUGUUGGUGGUGUUGGUUGUGUUGAGGGUGUUGGUUGUAUUGAUGGUGAUAUUGGUUGUGUUGGAGAUGGUGUUGGUUCUCUUGGGGUUGCUUCUUCUGAUGUUGGUUGUCUUGGUGCUGAUUCUCUUGAAGUCAACACCAAGGGGGUGUUGACUUCUAGAGAGUCAACACCAAGACAACCAGCUUUGGGGUGGUGUUGGUUCUCUUAGUGUUGGUUCUCUUGGGG
rnacentral:lncRNA from 1 species